rnacentral:rRNA from 1 species
GAAUAUUGGACAAUGGGGGCAACCCUGAUCCAGCCAUGCCGCGUGUGUGAAGAAGGCCUUUUGGUUGUAAAGCACUUUAAGCAGUGAAGAAGACUCCUUGGUUAAUACCAAUGGACGAUGACAUUAGCUGCCGAAUAAGCACCGGCUACCUAUGUCCCAGCAUCAGCGGUAAUACAGAGGGUGCAAGCGGUAAUCGGAAUUACUGGGCGUAAAGCGAGCGUAGGUGGCUUGAUAAGUCCGAUGUGAAAUCCCCGGGCUUAACCUGGGAACUGCGUCUGAUACUGUUAGGCUAGAAUAGGUGAGAGGAAGGUAGAAUUCCAGGUGUAGCGGUGAAAUGCGUAGAGAUCUGGAGGAAUACCGAUGGCGAAGGCAUCCUUCUGGCAUAAUAUUGACACUGAGGUUCGAAAGCGUGGGUAGCAAAC